rnacentral:rRNA from 1 species
GAUGAACGCUGGCGGCGUGCCUAAUACAUGCAAGUCGAGCGAAUGGAUUAAGAGCUUGCUCUUAUGAAGUUAGCGGCGGACGGGUGAGUAACACGUGGGUAACCUGCCCAUAAGACUGGGGUAACUCCGGGAAACCGGGGCUAAUACCGGAUAAUAUUUUGAACUGCAUGGUUCAAAAUUGAAAGGCGGCUUCGGCUGUCACUUAUGGAUGGACCCGCGUCGCAUUAGCUAGUUGGUGGGGUAACGGCUCACCAAGGCAACGAUGCGUAGCCGACCUGAGAGGGUGAUCGGCCACACUGGGACUGAGACACGGCCCAGACUCCUACGGGAGGCAGCAGUAGGGAAUCUUCCGCAAUGGACGAAAGUCUGACGGAGCAACGCCGCGUGAGUGAUGAAGGCUUUCGGGUCGUAAAACUCUGUUGUUAGGGAAGAACAAGUGCUAGCUGAAUAAGCUGGCACCUUGACGGUACCUAACCAGAAAGCCACGGCUAACUACGUGCCAGCCGCCGCAGUAA